GGAUGAACGCUAGCGGCAGGCCUAAUACAUGCAAGUCGGACGGGAUUGGUUAGCUUGCUAAUCAUGAGAGUGGCGCACGGGUGCGUAACACGUAUGUAACCUACCUUUACCAGGGGGAUAGCCUCUCGAAAGAGAGAUUAAGACCGCAUAAAAUUAUAUUGUGGCAUCACAAAGUAAUCAAAUAUUUAUAGGGUAAAGCUGGGCAUGCGGAACAUUAGCUGGUUGGUAAGGUAAUGGCUUACCAAGGCAACGAUGUUUAGGGGAUCUGAGAGGAUGGCCCCCCACACUGGUACUGAGACACGGACCAGACUCCUACGGGAGGCAGCAGUAAGGAAUAUUGGUCAAUGGGCGGAAGCCUGAACCAGCCAUGCCGCGUGCAGGAAGACGGCCCUACGGGUUGUAAACUGCUUUUGCAGGGGAAUAAACCCCCGGACGCGUCCGGGGCUGAAUGUACCCUGAGAAUAAGGAUCGGCUAACUCCGUGCCAGCAGCCGCGGUAAUACGGAGGAUCCGAGCGUUAUCCGGAUUUAUUGGGUUUAAAGGGUGCGUAGGCGGCCUUGUAAGUCAGGGGUGAAAGACGGUAGCUCAACUAUCGCAGUGCCUUUGAUACUGCAGGGCUUGAAUGUACUUGAGGUAGGCGGAAUGUGACAAGUAGCGGUGAAAUGCAUAGAUAUGUCACAGAACACCAAUUGCGAAGGCAGCUUACUAAAGUAUGAUUGACGCUGAGGCACGAAAGCGUGGGGAUCAAACAGGAUUAGAUACCCUGGUAGUCCACGCCCUAAACGAUGAACACUCGAUGUUGGCGAUAUACAGUCAGCGUCAAAGCGAAAGCGUUAAGUGUUCCACCUGGGGAGUACGCCCGCAAGGGUGA
rnacentral:rRNA from 1 species